GUCUGAAAUCAGGAUGGCUCUUAAGAGCUUUCAAAAGAGGCUCUGCAGGUGCUAGCCAGGGAACCUAACAAGUUGCUUUUGCUUGCGUGUGUGCAUGUGGCAACUUUACCAGGCCCAGAAGGGAGGUGUUCACUUCAUUUGAUUUAGUAUCACUGGGAGCACCACUGGUGCACGCUAUCUCAAUUUAAUUUAGAAGUGUCAUUGUAAAACAGCAACAAAAAUAUUUUCAAACGGGUUUCCCCCAUAGUGCAGCAUUGAAACAGAGUUACUGUGAAUACAGAAGACUGUCUAUCCCACAGCAGGCAAUGCAAUUAAAGACUUCAGAGAAUGCCAGAUUUUUCAGAAUGCAUCAUAGAAUUUUCAAAGCUGUAAGAAAGAGGAAUGAAUCACAGUUCAUCUCGCAGAUUUAUGGCAUGCCUACAGAAAAAGUACCUUAUGAUGCAAACCUGAAAGUUUAAAUAAUCUCCUGAAAGUUCCACAAUCAGCUGCAGAGAACUCCAGGAGCUGUUUUUAAAGAAGAUUAAGUUUUCAGCUUUCCUCCACUGUUUUGGGAAACGUCACCUUCUUAUCUUGGAAGAGUAAUCUCAAAAUUGAAGCAUCUUAGAUCCAACAAGAAUUAAAAGGAUGGGAAGUCCUUGCAGCCAUCCAAUAGAGUCAGAAGACUUUGGAUUUUGGAGUCUGUGAGAUUAUCUUACAGAGCAAGACUGCAGAUCAAGAUUUUCCAACGUGGUGCUGACUUUUUUGAGAACAGUUAAUGAGAACUAGGAAAGUCCUUGCAGACCAUCCAGUCCAGCGGCUUUCAAAUGGAAAAUGUGAAAGGACAACAGAAUCACAUGGAUUCUUUUCUGAACUGCUUUUUUCCAGUGAUGCCAUAUUCUAUAAGACUUCAUGUGAAGGUGUGGAGGACGGGUAAUGUCUGAAUCUUCCAGGCAAUGAGAGGGAUGGUGUGAGUCUGGAAAUUCUUUGUGAUGGUCUGAGACUCCCCUUACUCCAGUUAAGAACACUGACUUAAUUCGAUCUGGUUUUUUUUAACAAAUGGCCUCUGAGACGUAGAGCAGUGAGGAUAAGGACUCUUACCCGGUUACAGAGUGGAGUAAGGGCUAGAACUCAACUCUUAAAAAUUUCAAAUGCAAUGUUCUUUCUACAAUAUUGUGCCUACUUCUUCACUUCUGCUUAUAGGCAACUUCCUUUUCCUUUAAUUCUCUAAUAUUUGGAGGGCACGUCACAACUUAUACACUUGCUCUAUAUGUUUUACAUUGCUUCUCAUGGUUUCUCAUGCAUAAGUAUAGUAUUUUCUUAUAUUUUAAAUUUUCUAAGAACAGGUAACCUAUUUUAAACUCCCCUUGCAAUUAUGCAGGUAACUAACACAUUGAUGAUAAGCUAAUAUUAAGAGAGCAAAAUAGUUGAUGAUUAGUUUAUUAGUAUCUCAAAAUAAUCCAUUUGAUGUGCUAAGGUGCUAUUAGUUACAACAUUUCAAGUAUACAUGCAAUUCUUGUUAGAAAUAUUAUCCACCUUUUGAAAUACAUGUUGAUUAAAGACUAACAUGGGCUGUGGGCAUAGGUACAGUAACAGCAUACCAUAGGCCGGAGAAAGAGUUGACUUUGGAGGUCCAAGAUCAAGAAGCAGGAUGUCUAACAGGGCUCUUGAGAAUUCUAGGGCAGCCGGUACUCGAAAGGCAAGAUUUGAUUGUGAAUGAUUUCAUGCAACUCCGUUGGUUAAUAAGCAAAUCCUGCCCACACUUGUGGAUAACAUGGAAGCUACCUGAGCAGGUAAAGGCUAAGACAGAAGAUCCAUGAACAGAACUGGAGUUUUGAUAAUUCACCAGGAACUUGGUUACUUUGUUGUACCUUUUAUGCUUUUAUAUUUCUUCUUCCCUUUCAUUUCCAUGCAAUGUAUUUAUAACUUGUAGCUAGAUUUUUAGAUUACUGCCAGACAAAUUCAGUCAAUUUAAUUAAUUAGGCAAAUUAAAGUGAAAAUUAUGUUUUAGGGGCUGUUAAAAUUUAUAAGACAUUAGCACAUUCUUCUCAUGUGCUUUUAUUAUUAUUACAAAUGUUGUUUCAUAAUUAGCCAUGUGUUAAUUGUUAGCUUGGGGAAUGAUUUACGUGUUUAAAAUUGGGAGAAAUCAUUUUGGCUAUGGCUACCUCUUUUAAUUUACUUACAUAUUUUUUUCCCAUCACACAGUGUUUGACUUUUACAACCACAUACAUUUUGAUUAGAACCUGAAAUAAUUCAGUAAAACAAGAUGAUGGUU
rnacentral:lncRNA from 1 species